GCAGCAUAUUCUGGUUGGUGUAGAAGAGCAGCUUCUGCUCCAUGAGUCUCAUCUUCAAAUCAUCCAACCCAUUGACGGCGGUUAGCGAGCUCGUUAGCUCAUCCUCGCCUGCAAUGUGCUGAUUGUUAUGAUGGAGGCUCGCCGGAGAGCCCGCAUAGGAUGCCGGGUCGCAGUCUUCCGUGUGUGACACGUCCAGCAGCCCUUCGCCGCCGCCGCCGUCCGCGUACGAACUAUCGUCAAACAUGUCCUCCAGGAAGAUUUCCGUUUUACAUUUGCUGCUCGAUGGGUCUCCUGAAAAACAAUUCCCCAGUGUUAUUCUGUAUAAUUCUAUCGAGCAUUUUCCGAAUAACCUUCAUUACUUGCUAACGAUUUGUAGUACUGGUGAAACGUGUCGAAAUAAGGGAAGCGCAUCUUAUUGGAGCGCCCUCCACUGGCUUCCAUCCGCUUCGCGCAGGUUCGGUAGGUUUUGAGCAGAUUAUUGAACCGUGUUUGGCAAGCAGCGGCAUUUUUCUGGAUACCAACAAACCAGACUAUCAGCUCCACAGAAAAUACUUAAAAUCACGCAACACUUACAAUAAAGUUAUGUUCCUUUGCCAGGUAAAGCGAAAUUUUGUCGUACACUUUAUCAUUUCGCCCGCAACCGAACAGCUCCAGCCGCUUGCGUAUCAUCAAAUUGGUCUCUUCCAUUGUCCAUGUGUUGUUCAUGGUGGUGUAGUGGCUCAUGCUCGAGGUUCCCGCUGCAGGAAUGAUUAGAUCUAAAACACUUAAAACGGUAAUUCACAGUGAUUUAACAUUGAAACUAAUUUAACACUAAUCGCCGCAACGACAGCUGAGUGGCGGUUUGUUUGUAAAUAAACUCGUUGUUUUGCGCUAUUUCCACCACCUGUUUCGGCAAUUUUUGUACUGUAAGUACAACUGGGCUAUUUUGAUGUUAAUUUCACUCUCAAGUGGAACGAAGUGAAAACCAAGGCGCCUCUAUAUAUACCAGGUGAAACAAUCAUAUGAAAUGCACUUUCAGCCAUAUUGGAAUUGCUGUCGGUAUUGUUUACAAACAGCAUCAGAACGCUGCCGGCGGCUCUCUACAAACUGCUGCGACGCUUAUUCGAACGAUGCCUACUUUGUUCGGCUUUCGCGAAUUUAUGUGAAAAAGACGGGAUGAUUUUGUAGAAUUUCAUUCUCAUCCAGUUCAUCCACUACUCUCGCAUGUGAAAAUGCAAAAAUGGCGUAUCCUAGCAAUAACAAAACAAACAACUCCCGCUCCACAAACCGUAAUCCCCUUCUCAUUGAAGUGAUGAUGUUGCUUCACCUGUUAUACAUUUAUACAAGCGCCUUGGUUAAAACCGGAGGCGCUGAUGUAUGGCGAGUACACUGGAGAAAAACUUUAGUAAAUGCAGCUACCAAACCUUUAGUAGUCGAAACAUUUGUAAAAUGUACACAUUUUUUGUGAAUAUUACCAAAACUUUGUAAAACUGAUGUCAGAUGCAAUGUACAUCCCUACCAAUGAUUCGUACAUUUUACUUCAUAUGCUUCCUUUACAAUGCAGGCUUUUAAUCGCAUGCGAUAUACUCACUCGCGAUAUUUUUCAGUGCAGCCCUUUACAAUGGUUAGCUAUAUCGCGCGAUAAUAAGUCAUAAUCUGUCUGUCAAACCUGCAUCCCUCUCAUCAUACAGCCAUUAUUUGUUAUGGACCAAGACGGGUCUAUGGUACUAGGUGAGGCCGUUUCGUCACUAAGUUGGUUAGGGGAGCGGUAUAUGAAAACAGUACGGAAGAAAGCAAAAGGGGAAUUAUUUCCUUGAAGCGUGAAAGAGACAGACUGAUCAGGAGCGAGCUUCGGCACUAGCGUAUUGGGUUUUGUUUACAAACAAAACACAGUAGACUUCCAAGAUGGCUGAAGAGUGGUUUUACCAAGUUGGCCCACCUUAGGAUAUACUUCUACGCGCCUUGUUAUGGACAAGGUUGUACUAGAGUGGUGGAACAAAAUCAUAUCGCUAGAAAUGUGAAUGCAAGUAUAAAAUGCCAGAUAAUUAAUAAUUGAAAAACCAACAAAUUCAAUCGAAUAUUAACAAAAAUGUGUAAAAAUAAUUAUGAUUAUACAGCAAUACGCUUGCAACAGGUGAUCGUUGCAGCUCUAACUUUAUGAAGCGUUUCAUAUGAACAUUUUUUUCGAUAUAUCGUUCCAUCCAUCAAGUAUAUUUUGUUCCACCUGUCUGAUGUAUGUAGUGUCUCCUUUCAAAGCAACGCGAUUUUCGCAGCCAAAGCUUGGAGAGUUCUAUCUUUUUUCGCACUGUCAUAGGUGAUUUCGCGCUUUGCCCUGAUUGGUUGACGAAUAAAAAUCGCUAUUGAAGAAAAAAAAUCGCGCUCAUUGUAGAUGAUGGUAAAUCCGGCAAUAGCAUGUGUAACCGGCAAUAGCAUGUGUGUAAUUUUUAUUUCUAACAACUGUGUGUGUGCUCAACCGCCAUUUCUCUAAUGGAAGCGAAACGAUUUGGAGCCUAAAAUCGUAGAAUCCAUAGCAAAAGUUUCAUGUAGCCAUCGCAACCAACAGCAGCAAUGGACCGCCUCUCGAUGGAUUCGUUGUCCCAGGAAGCGAUGGAUAUCAGUUGGGCCAAUCGUACCGUCAGCAGCGAGGAAACCAACAACAACCAUUUCACACUGAGCAAUCAACAGCCAAAAAGACUACCAGCACCGAUUCGGACAACAUCGACUCGGAUGAGAAGCAGCAGCAACAGCGCAGAUUGCCGGUGUUAUUCCACUAAUAUAAAGGGUGUGUCACAUCAAAUUGCAUCACGGAAAAAACGCUGUAGAAAUUCGCCCAGUAGACCGAUCCUUUUGAAA